rnacentral:lncRNA from 1 species
AUGCACCGGGAGCCCGACGUGGGAUUCGAUCCCGGGUCUCCAGGAUCGUGCCCUGGGCCAAAGGCAGGCGCCAAACCGCUGCGCCACCCAGGGAUCCCCCCACACCUCCUUCUGAAUCCAGUCUUGAACACCCAUGAAGGAGAACCAUCCCAAUGGGAGGAUGGAAUCCCAGCAGACACCUUUCAUUCUUUCCUGGAGACACCCCCAGCAAGUGAGAAGAUGACGUUAUUAUUUCUUAAUAUAUGGAUUUUUUUUUCUAAUUACAAAGAAACCACACAAAUGACCCGUAGAAAACUUGGAAAACAGGAACACACAAAGAUGGCUGUAAAAAGCCCCCAUAAUCCAAGUUAACCGCGGUUAACAUAUUGGUGUAUUUCCUUCUAUCCUUUUUUUCUUUAAGUAGUAGCCCAAGGCCAUGUGAACGAUCUGGGCUUAAGAUCUAUCUUUUGACUUUAAUUAUGUGUAGUUGGACUCUCUAAGACUUUAGGGUUGCUUUAAAUUUAUGCCCAUAUUUUUUCCCCGGAGUGUGCCUCGUUGUUUUUCUCCUGCUCUUUUACUUUUUCCUGCAGGGGCAGCUCAAAUAGAAUCAAUGCUUGCUAGCACCCCUGUGCUGCUACCUGCUUUUGUGCAUGUCAGACGCCCCCCAGCCCCCCAACAGCUUUUCAACAGCUUCCCCUUGAGUCCGUUUCACUCCCUUCUUUGGGGUGUGGGUGGGAGUGAUCUUUUCAAAGCCAUGAAUCUGAUGUCCUCAGUCCUCACUGAACAUCCUUUACUGGUCAUCCUUUGUGUUUAGGAGAAGACAGACAAAGCCUUUGCUGUGUCCCUCCGGCCCACUGGCACCCCGUUUGCAGCUGUACACACCUCUUCUCCGCUCUCGGAUGGUCUCACUCAUGUCCCUGCCCCAGGCCUUCACGAACACCUCCACCUCUUACCCCUUUUCAGCUGGCUUUCCUGGUCUCAGCCUCCAGGCCGAGUUCAACGUCGCUUUUUUCCAGAGAAGUCUUUUCUCACUGUGGCACCCUUACAGUCCCUCAAUGGCCCCUUUACCUUUCCUUCAUGGCAGAUCACACUUUGCAGGUGUAUGUGUAUCUGCUUGGUUAUGUAAUAGGUAAUACGUCUAUGUGUUACCAGACAGCUAUGGACACCCCCUGAGGCAGAGCAAAUCCGUGGUGGUGCAUACUGUACCCUCUGCCUGCUGUCAUCCCCAUCGGCCACCACCACCACCUGCCCACCCUAGAGAUAGCACCUAUCCUCUGCUUGUCAGGUGCAAAUGCAUCAGUGAAGUGUCACUAUGUUGUAGUACAUUGGAUUUGGAGGUCUGGGGAGAGAGCAUGGUUUUCGACAAAGCCUUGGCAUGCCCAGCUUUCACAAUCCUGGUCAUUUUGUGAGUGCCUCAGAGGUCCCUGGCACACAGUGAUCUGUGAUGUGGCGAGGCCAGAGUUUGACUUGUGGGCGCUAAGGUGCUGGUGCAUAAGGCAGGUUCAUGGGCUGGUGAGUGAGGUGGAUUUCCAGUGAAAUACCUAUACCUUGGCAUGGCUCUGCCACCCGCCGUUACCCAUGUUCUGUGGGAGGAAUCAUUCUAGAGUACCUCUGACGUGCUAUUAAGCCUCCUGGAGUUGAAUGCCUCUGUGGAGAAGAGCUCUCAGCCUCUGAAUCAGCCUGGUAGACUGCUCUGGCUAUUCCAUAGAUCUUGCCCAAGUUAAAGAUGGAUUUAGCUUCUUAGAACCUUUAUUGAUUGCCUUCUGAGAUGUUUCUCCAGAGGAGAAUUCAGCGGACAUUUAUUGAACACUGGCACGCUGUACCAGGGAGAGACCCAGGCACCGGGUGUAGAGAGCUGAGUCAGACACAUGGGAAGCUCAGCCGGGAACAGCAGUGCAGUUUGUGAUGUGCUAUCACAUCAUUAUCUUAGCUCAUCGCAACAGUCCUAUGACAUGCAUGUUGGAGAAAUGGAGGCUUCGAGUUUGUACAACUUGCUUGAAAUCCUAUAGUUUGCACGUGAGGGAGCCACAGCUCAGUCUCAUCUUUUGACUCCUGCCCAGUGUUUACUUUUACUACCCCAGGCUGAAAAUAUGAAUGUAUUUUUGCUUCAUGCAACCCCUCGUACAUUUGAGGGAUGCUAAUGUACUCCCUGGAUUCUCUCUUUCAUGGGAUAAACUUGAUCCCCCCUGAACUGGUCUGCCUUGGAUGCAAUCACAUGGCAAUGCCCUUGCAAUUUGCAGAAGGGUGUGGCUACUGUACGACACUUUUCCAUCUGCAAAUAGGAGGGUCUCAACUUUGGAAACUAGAUUCUGAAGGGGGGAUUUGGGGUGGUUAUCCUCCUUGCCCAAUGAAGCCAGUUGCUAAGCCUGGUAUCUUUCUCCAGGGCAAUUCAAGAGGUGCUUUCCUAGCAAGAAUUAUAUAGUGAGAGAUGAUGGAUGUACAGAUUUCAUGGAAGUGACUGACACUUGGGGCAUCUUCUUCAUGACAUCCCUAUUAGGGUACCAUCCAACUUAAACAGUUCAUAUUACAGGGCACUCAUGACCACCUGAGGAAUUUCAUUACAUCUACUGAGAUUUUUGGGUCAACAUAAGGAAAACAAUAUCUGGCUCUACAUAGCUUCCAGUAUUAGCCUUCUUGUGGCUGAGAAGCAUAAGGGCAGUGCCUCUCCCAUGUGGCAGGCUGGCACACACGAAGAGUGCAGGGAGUCCCAGCCUGAGCCCAGGCCUGGUCAGGCAUGUCUGAGCAGGCCCAGUGAACUGCUGGGAUGGGUCUGUUCGAAGCCUAUUUGCAUGAGAGGCCGUGGAGCCUCCUGGGAAGGGGUGCAAGAAAGAACCAGUACAAACAGCUGACCUGGUAACCGGGCUUUGAUUGCAGCAGGGUGGGCAUAAUUCUGAGCCUGGCCUGGAGAAUGGCUCACAACUGGGUUUGGCUCACAACUCAGCCCCCAUUGGGCUUCUUUACAAAGCCUCCGGAGAGCAAAAAGGCUAUACAUACAAAUGGGAAGCAUGGUGUAGAUGAGUGUGUGCUAGUCACUGGGGAGCCAGCUUUGGGACUGCCUUCAGAGGAAAACACAAAGGCUGGAGAGGCACUCUCCUUCACUGCAUCGCAGAACCCAGCAGUUCUUUGGCCUCAUGGGGCCUUAGAAUCUCUGUGAUGGCAGUGACAGCAGCACCCAGCAGGAGGUGGCAGUGGCUGGGGUCCUGGUAGAGAGCCUAGAGCAGGCCAGUGGGAACAAAAUGGUGGCUAGUCAGAAAACUGUGUGUCUUGAUCAUAUAUGAGGCAAUUCCUCAGGACCUGGACAUGUGGGGGGAGGUAAACGUGGAAAGACUGACACCCUGAGUGAGCCAGUAAAAGUUAAGUCAUUGUAGGGCACCUGGGUGGCUUAGUUGGGUAAGUGUCUGCUUUUUGCUCAGGUCAUGGUCUCAGGGUCCUGGGAUUGAGCCCCACAUUGGGCUCCCUGCUCAGUGGGGAACCUGCUUCUCCCUCUCCCUCUGCCUGCUGCUCUGCCAGCUUAUGCUCUCU